rnacentral:misc_RNA from 1 species
GAAAUGCGAUAAGUAAUGCGAAUUGCAGAAUUCAGUGAAUCAUCGAAUCUUUGAACGCACAUUGCGCCCGCCAGCACUCUGGCGGGCAUGCCUGUCCGAGCGUCAUUUCAACCAUCAGGACCCCCUUGGGGGACCUGGCGUUGGGGACCGGCUGCCCCAGUGGCCGCCGCCCCCGAAAUCCAGUGGCUGCCCUCCGCGGGUGACCCUGCGCAGUAGUGAUACCUCGCAGUGGCUCCGGCGGAGCGAGCACGCCGUAAAACCCCCAACUUUCACCAGGUUGACCUCGGAUCAGGUAGGAAUACCCGCUGAACUUAA